CUUCGGAGAGGCGCGCCAAAUAUUGUGGGCUCUGGGCGGGAUUCCCCGGGCCAAGUGACGCCUGUCACGACGGCUCUCCGAGGAGCCGCAGACUCCAGUCGUUGUCUGCGGACUGCCCACGGAAGUCGCACUUUCAGGACUCUGACACUGAUUCCGUCUCUGACCAAGAUGCGCCGAGUCUUUUGGGUUUUGUUCGCUCUUGCUAUCAGCAUGUCAGCAACCACAGAUGCUAUGCCGAAUGGAAAUGUGUCCGUGCCUUGCGUGGGGGAGGACGGCCCGUGCGAAGGCGAGAACGGCUGGCGAGGAAACUGCUGCGGUGGCUUCCUCUGCCGCAAGAGCGGCGACUCCAACCGGAUUGACGAGAAAGGGCGCUGUGUGUACCACGCUCAGGCACACUGGUAAAACGGAAGUGGAGUUGUACCUUUCAUUCAAGCGAACCACUACGCUUGAAGUCUCCAAUUAGCUUAGUGUAGAGGAGAUAUUCCCCCAUGCAUUUAGAUAGGGGGAAUCUUGGUGGUUGGGCCUUAUACGCUUGAUGUCAAGCGUAACCUGAUUACGCUUGAAAACAGAGGGUAAUACUACGCUUUAGUUUUACCAGUGUAGUAUUACUAUGUAGGUUAUAACCCACAUCUCUUAUGAUACUACUUGGCACUCGGAUUGAAAUAAGAUAGUAAGCACUCAUAAAAUCUGCACUGAAAAAUAAAAUUGUCGCGAUUGAGUUAGUAUGAGCGUACGAGUGAUCAUGGAUGAAUUUUAAUCAGUACGAAACCUUGUGGACUGAGUGACAGCAGUGAAGCCCCAUUCUCUAUUGGGCUACAAUGGUUAAUUUUAGACCAAAGCCUUUCAGGAAAACCAUUGACGGGCCCAAAAUUCGAUCGUCAAGUGAGGUUGUGCAAGCGAGCUUGUACUGUACGUGUAGAGAAUAAAAUAAUUCAACUCUU